rnacentral:rRNA from 1 species
AUUGAACGCUGGCGGAAUGCUUUACACAUGCAAGUCGAACGGCAGCACGGACUUCGGUCUGGUGGCGAGUGGCGAACGGGUGAGUAACAUAUCGGAACGUAUCCAAUAAUGGGGGAUAACUAAUCGAAAGGUUGGCUAAUACCGCAUACGCCCUACGGGGGAAAGCUAGGGACCUUCGGGCCUGGCGUUAAUGGAGCGGCCGAUAUCUGAUUAGCUAGUUGGUGGAGUAAAGGCCCACCAAGGCGACGAUCAGUAGCUGGUCUGAGAGGACGACCAGCCACACUGGAACUGAGACACGGUCCAGACUCCUACGGGAGGCAGCAGUGGGGAAUUUUGGACAAUGGGCGCAAGCCUGAUCCAGCCAUUCCGCGUGAGUGAAGAAGGCCUUCGGGUUGUAAAGCUCUUUCGCAAGGGAAGAAAACUUACCCUCUAACAUAGGGUGAGGUUGACGGUACCUUGAUAAGAAGCACCGGCUAACUACGUGCCAGCAGCCGCAGUAAGAC